rnacentral:rRNA from 1 species
AGGACGAACGCUGGCGGCGUGCUUAACACAUGCAAGUCGAGCGGAAAGGCCCUUCGGGGUACUCGAGCGGCGAACGGGUGAGUAACACGUGGGCAACCUGCCCUUAGCUCUGGGAUAGCUCCGGGAAACCGGAAUUAAUACCGGAUAUGACCUAGGCCGACAUCGGCCGUGGUGGAAAGUUUUUCGGCUAGGGAUGGACUCGCGGCCUAUCAGCUAGUUGGUGGGGUAAUGGCCUACCAAGGCGACGACGGGUAGCCGGCCUGAGAGGGCGACCGGCCACACUGGGACUGAGACACGGCCCAGACUCCUACGGGAGGCAGCAGUGGGGAAUCUUUCUCAAUGGGGGAAACCCUGAAGGAGCGACGCCGCGUGGAGGAUGAAGGUCUUCGGAUUGUAAACUCCUGUCAUUGGGGAACAAGUCGCUUACGUUAACUGCGUGAGCGCUGAUAGUACCCGAAGAGGAAGAGACGGCUAACUCUGUGCCAGCAGCCGC